AGAAACUUCGUUGAAUGAAGAAGAGAAAGAGGGAGCUGCCGACGCGUCGAGGGUGGAUGGAGGGGGUAGAAGAGGGAGAGGGAGCACGAGGUGUACGUGCAGGAGGUGCACUCACGCACUCACGCACGCACGCGUGUGCUUCGCGCGACCAGAAAGAGCGAGAGAGUGAGAAAGAGAGAGAAAGAAAGAAAGAAGGAGAGAGAGAGAGAGAGAGAGAGAGGGACGAAGAGCAGCUUCGGAAGAGAGGACACAAGAGAAGAGACGAAGGAGAGAGAGGUGACUCUCCUCGGGGCCUUAGUCGCCGACUGUCCGCUACUACGCGCGGUGUUACACCAUCAUCGACCAAGUAUCCUUUUCUCUUUUUUUCUCUUUUUCCCUUCUUAUUACUCUUUUUUUCCUACUCUUCUUCGUCUCUUCCUCCUUUGGACAAGCUUCCUCCUACGAACGUUUUCGCGUCUUUUCUUUCUGUCUCUCUCUCUCCCUCUCUCUUUCUCUCUCUCUCUCUCUCUCUCUCUCUCUGUUUCUCUCUCUUCUUCUUCUUCUUCUUCUUCUUCCCUUCGAAGAACGUCUCGCGUUGAUACAACAUACAACCAAUACAUAUAUUUUUCUUUCUUUCUCUCUCUCUCUCUCUCUCUCUCUCUCUCUCUCUCUCUCUUUCUCUUUCUCUCUCUCUUUCUGAACGUACUCACACCUGUUGCUGUCGUGCUUGCUUCCGUUUUCUGCUCACCGUCGAAGGAGUCACUCGUUUUCGCCGAAGGAGUUUCGGCGCGAAAGUCGACGAUCCGCUCGAUGAUAUCAUCCACCACGUGCUCGCGACACGCUUCGAGUUGCGACAACAAAUCGGAGAUACUUUUAUAACAACGAUUGUAACGAAAUUAUCUUCGGAUUUUUUCAAUCUAAAUUUAUCGAUCGAUCCAGUGACUGACAAUUUCUCGGAAGCAUUAACUCUGACCUUGUGAACUGUUUAUAUUAACAACUUACCUCGAGUGUUUAUUCGUUGUACGUCGACAAAUUCGUGGACCGAAAUCUCAGUCGUGAAAACUCAGUGGACCGAACUUUGUGAUAGAUUCCUUAAAUCUCGGCGAUGAAAAUUCGAUUGUAUGGAGGAAUCUAGUGAGAAAGAUUACGGAAAUCGCAACUUGCCGAAAUUUAUGAUACUUCGCUCGUCGCCACGAUUGAACGACCGUCGACGAGUAAGAUCACGCUGCCGUCUGCGCAGAAGAGAUGACACGAUGCGUGGGUAUCCUAAAGAAGGAGAGAGACUCGUUUCGAAAGUGCAACGGGUUCCUAGGAGGAGGCGUCAUCCCGACUGCCAGGCUCAUUAAGGCUAAUGACGCGGAUCGCGCAAUUAUUCCAAUAAGAGGUGGCCCACCGCUAAGUUCGAACCGAACCUAUCAAUUUGUUAUAAUUAUAACGGCGAUAUACGCUCUCAUCUACCUCUGUACGCACUUACCAAAUUACACGUCUCGAUUCUACGAACGUCAUGAGAGCGUAAAAGCCUACGUCGGAGAAGUUCUUUCUCGUUCGUCGUUCCUUUCACAAAGGGGGGAAAAAAAAUGAAAACGAAAAAAAAACCUUGCCCUGAAAAUAGCUUUCUCUUAACGAUGAUCUCCAUCGAACUUUUUCCAAUUUUUUAACUACAAAUGAGCGUCGAUUAUCGGUGAAUAAUUAUAAGAAUGAUAAAUGAGGAUCGUGAUAGAAACAUUUCGACUUUUAUGCGAAACAUUUCGUCGUAUUUGCGUGUGUACGUUCAAACGUAGAUUGCAUCGAUGUACGAGUGGCACUCCCAGUAUAUAAACAAAACUCGAGGAUCACCGUUCCUCCCGAGGGAAAGGAGUAAAAGAAGGAGGAAAUAUAGGAACUUAAUAUAUUCAUGGCACGCGAGUGCCUAAAAUAAAUCGUCUUAAGUAUUCACGCACUUUACGGUUCUCCAUCUGGCAUUAGAAGACCGAUGACGCGCCGAGGCUUUCGUAAAAAAAAGUAAAUACGAGCGUCUCGAAAAAAUUCAAACGGUCGAGCGGCCACUUAGCGAGUACUCUCGAGCCGGCGGACACGUGUCCAAAGCGUGGCCGUAGGCGCGACCACGUGUCAACACCAGGAGAAGGAAAGGUUUGCGGAGGAAAGUUCUUGGAAAAAGAAAGCGCAUCGACCCUUUCCCGUUUAAGAAAAAAGAGAAAAAGGAAAGAAACCGAUCCACGACAUCCUCGGGUAGAAACAAGGAUAUAUGUGACCGAAUCGAUGUUUGCACAUUUAAUGUAACAAGAAAUAGGAGAGAGAAAAAGAAAAGUGGAGAUAAAGAGAGAGAGAGAGAGAGAGAGAAAGAGGAACGUUUUAUCAGGCAAAGAAGGGUAAGAGCUUUACGGAGUUUGCGCGCGCACGUAAGCUCCGACACCCUUGGCGCGUGGGCAGUGCUACGGAGGAAAGGCAGCGUAAGAGACCUUCCCUCGCACGUUUGGUCACUCUUUCGAGAGAGACACCUACGUAGAGAGUACACUCUCGGGCGUGCAUAAAAGAGAAGAAGAAAGAAGGAGAGGAGAGACGAAGAACGCAAGUAGACUCGAGCGAGAACGAGUGAGGUCGCGCGCGCGCCGGUAAAAACGGCGCGAGGUGGCCGGUCGCGUGCAAGAAGGUAGGGGGAAAUAGGCGUGGUUCGCGGUGCACGUCCGUAGUCGUACUAACGCGAGACGGGCUCGUCGUGCGCCCACCUCGAGAGGGCUCGCCAGGGCUCGCGCGAAGGGGGACGAGACUGCCCGAAGAAGGCCGCGUAGUGGGGGUAAGCGGCACGGGCUCUCUUAGUGGAGUGGUGGGGAUGAACGAAGUUGCGAUCAACUGCACACAUUGAAGACGAAUCGCACGGACGAUAGCAACGGGUCUCUCAAAGUUCACGCACACGAAAAUCAACUGGGGACGCGGCCUGCGCACGUGUAGGGAUCUUACAUGCGAGAGCGAGGGAGGGAGAGAAAAGAGUGCGAGAGAGAGAGAGAGAAAGAGAGAGGGAGAGACAGAGAAGAGAGAGAAAGAGAACGAGAAGAGAAGGGAAGAGAGAGGGAUGGAGAGCGAUGCCGAAGAAGGAAGGAGGGGGAAGGGGCGAGCGAAGUAGAAGGUAGUGGGGGUAACCGAACGCGGCCGAAGGUGAAACCCGCGAGCCGAGCUCGACUCGCAGUCGGCGCGAGACCGCGCUACUGGAAGGGUCGUUGUUGUCGUUGACGUUACUAUUAUUUGUUAUUGUUCUUCUUCUUCUAUCGUGUCGCGUAUAUGCACGCACGAACCUUUUCUUAUCGAUACGAACACGCCACUACCUUCUACUAAAACUGAUCUUCUUCCUCCUCCUCCUCCUCCUCCUCCUCGUGCACCAUCUCCUCCUUUUUAUCCUCCCGCUCGCGACGCGAACUCGAUAACGAGAGAAAGAAGAAAAAGAAGAGGAAGAAAGAAGGGUUGAUACUCUUGCUCGAUUAAGCUCCCACCAUCGAAUCUUUUCUUCCUCCUCCUCCUCCUCCUCCUCCUCCUUUUCCUCUUCCUCCUACUCUCCCUCUCUGAAGAAUCUCCUCCCCCACCCCUCUCUCUCUCUCACUCUUUCUUCAACACCACCUCCACCUCCACGUCCACCUCCGUUCGUACGUUCGUCGCUGGUUUCUCGCGCGCGCGAACAGACAAACGUCGCCGAGGCACUCUCGCUCCACCGUACUACCAUAGUUAGCCCCGAGGAAGAAGAGGAUAGGAGGAAGACGAAGAAGUUGGAUCUCGAGUCUGUGAUAUCUCUUGAUACGUGCCUCUCCCCCGUCCACCCUAAUCUCUAUAUAUACUCUCGCCUUUACUCUGCCCUUUACAAUACUCGCUCGUCCUUCUCUACUUGCACGCCAGAAGUUUUACGCAAGAAGAGGGUAGCGUUCACGUAGUCGCGGUGGCGAAAGAAAAGAGAGGGGUGAAAGUCUAGCGUUUCUACGUUUGAUGUGACAAACCAGUGUUCUUUGCAUUACUUCUACAAGUGACGGAAAUUUAUUUUAAGAAACAAGAAGGAAGGAAAGAAGAGGGACAGAAGAAAGAAAGAAAGAAAGAAAGAAAGAGAGAGAGAAAGAGAGAGAGAGAGAGUAAACGUGUAUCGUGUGUGUGCGUGCGUGUGCAACUAAUUAUACAUAUUAUAUAUAUAUAUAUAUACACACAUAUAUAUACAUUUAAGCGAGUGAACGAGCGAGUCUCUUCGUUGUUAUUGUUAUUUGUUGUUUCCACUUCUUAUUCUUGCGGCGACAAGCAGAAAGGAUCAUAGUGGAGGACGUUGCUCGAUCGCCAUUUGAUCGAUCUCUCCUCUCUCCUUUCUCGUUCAUACAUCGUGCCCGAUAGCUGUGAUAAUACUCUCGAAGGAUACUACAAAUUUACACUACGACUUACGCUUUUCUUCUAUGAUACACAACGCGUCGUUCAGUGCCUGUUCUAUUGCUGUGAUCGCGUGACAUUAUUAUUGUUGUUAUUGUUGGAUCAACGUGUACUGAGAAACGUCGACGUCUUCCAGCUCAAAGGAUCGAAAAGAAAAACGAGGAAGAGGAGGAGAAAAGAAGAAGAAGGAGGAGGAAAAACGUUUUCACAAUCGGAAGGAACUGAAUAUCGAAGGGAACGAAUGCUCGAGAUCCUUUGAAAUUCGACCGAUGAUCACGUGCGAGGGCGGCUUUUAAUAAUGGCAUAUGCGCGAGCCGUUCAACCGAGCGUCGCGACGCUCAGCGUCGGAAGUGGAGCGAACGCGAACGAAGUGGAAAGCUAACGUGCAUACAUACGUGUACAUGUGUGUGUAUGUUCUGUGUGUCUCGUAUAUUCCCGUUGCCGCCUGUAUCGUCGUGUCGUCGUCGUCAUCGUGUCGGUGGAUGAUCACAUCACCGAUCGAAUCCCUUUUCACGCUCUUUCUCAUCCCUCUCUACCUUUCUCUCUCUCUCUCUCUCUCUCUUUUUCACGCUCGACCUUUUCGUUCGUGAGAUAAACUCGUCUCGUUUUAUCGGAUUUCCAACGGGCCGCGUGCGCUUUGCGAUAUAUCAAAAAUUACGGAUCGACGAGAUGUUUAUAGCGAAAGGGACAAAGAAGAAGGAAGAAGAUAAAGAAGAAAAAAAAAACAAAAACAAAAAGCAAAUAGUAUCUUCGAUAUUUAUAUUUUUCGUAAGAUUACUUCUUUGUCAUUUAUCAUGUACGUACGUAGUAUGUACGUUGUAUGUAUUAUAAUACAAUUGCGUUGCGGGAAAGACUCAUCGAUUGUUUUGCGCAAACUCGUGUCUAGACGAUCGGAACUUAUUUUGUUUUUUCCUCAUUCUUUUUUUUCUCGUUUUUUUUUCUUCGUUAUUUUUCCGCAUAUUCCAAAGUAAAGCAAAGAUCUUUCGUAUUCUUCGGGACAUUUGUAUCGAGAAAAUUGUUGAUUUCUUUCGUUCGUCCCUUUGCUUCCGGUGGAGAUCACGUAGGAGGGUGGUUUUCACGGAUCGGAAACGGACGUGUCUCGUGGCCAACGCUCGUUUCUUCUUAAAAGUCAGCCACGUAGAACGAUCUACUGCGACCAAUCUUCUUUACGCGUGUCCCUUCACGGCUCGUGACUUUGGUGAGUACGUACGCGCGCGUUCCUGUAUUCAAACCCGUGCCCGUGCCCGUGCCCGUGCCCGUGCCUACCGUGACGUGCGCGCGUGUAUUCUUUUCUCUUCUUUUCUAUUUACCUUUUCUUCCUUUUAUUUUUUUUUUAUAUCUUCAUCACGUACUAGUCAGAGAUGAAGGACAUACAUAUAUAUGUAUGCAUGUAUGCAGAGUUUUCUGAGUGAUUUAUUAUAUGGUAAGAGAUAAAUGAAGUAAACAUUAUUUUCGUUGAGUAAAAAUAACAUUAAUUCGUCCAGGUAGGUUUGUUGACGUCUAUAUAUAGAUUCUCUCGUAUAUUGUAUUAAAUUACAUACUAUAAUUAAAGCGUAGGGGGAUAGUAAUCGUGCGAAUGAUGCCUCCAUUGUUUUAAUCGACUUCUUCGUUGACACGAGCGCGCGAUAAGAGCCGCGAAGUCAGCGGCCUUCGUUUUGUGCGUGCAUGCGUGCGCGUGAGUAUCGGAAAGAGGGUGCGAGAGAGAGAGAGAGAGAGAAGAGAAAAAAAAGAGGAGAGAAAAAGAAAGAGCGAAAGAGUGAGAGAGAGAGAGAGGUUAGAAGAAAGAAAAAGAAGAAAGAGGUAGGAGACGUAAGACGAAUGGUGCACACGAGAAGGAGGUGUCAGGUGUCACGGCUGUCCGGUUUCGUUUGCAAACAACACGGUGCUAGCGGCAAAAACAUUUUCUCUUCGACAGUUCAAGCCUUCUUCUAUAGAUCUCCAAUGGCUAUAUUCGAUCUUUCUCUCAGGUCUAUAUGUGAGUUUUAGAAUCCAGGUCCAGUAUUAUCUCCUGAUAUCAAAAGUCUAUUGGUUUCGACUAGUAUCGUAAUAAGAUCGUUCCAUUUUUAACGUUUUUGAUUAGUUUACUUACGAAUCAAUGAUUAUUUCAAUCGAACAUCGUCGGAAACGCUUCUGUACUUUUAUCUUCGCUUGAUGUUAGAUUGAACUAUCUUACGAGAGUUUAGUUUCUACGAAUAUUCACGAUCAGGCAAAUAUGUUACAGAGAGAAAGAGAGAGAGAGAGAGAGAGAGAGAAAGAUAUACUGUUAUAUGUUAUAUGAGAUUUUUCAAUCCGAAAAAAUAAAGUAUAUAACGAAGUGUAUACUUUUAAAAUGCUUUUACCGUUGACAUUCGUUGACAUCGUUAAAGGAUUACAGAGAAAAGAAAUUAUCCGAGUGAAGCUGGUCAUCGAUCAUCAGAAGCUCGGCUUUUCAAAUCGAUCAUCGGAGAAAGGUCGCCGAGGAUGCUCCCUGGUCGCAUCGUAAAACCGUCGAUCCGUGUAUCUCGAACGGUACAGGGAGGAUUAAUCGCGCUUCGUGCCGUCGCAUCGCCGCUGCCACCGUUCGCCCGUCGUAACCGUAGCGACGAAAUGCGAGCAAGCAGCUGCGCGCGCGCGACCACAUAACUUCCCCGAGCCGCCCUUUCGCGCAUAAUGAUACAUCGCGCCGGACACGAAAGUUAUACGCUUUAAUUCGAGACUCGCGCUCGGUGAGCAACGUAUAUCGAUCGCCAAUUUGCUAUGCAGAUCGCAGCCCUUUCGAAGCUGCUCUCGAUUGCAUUCCCUGCGAUUGCACCGUGUCUCUCUCUCUCUCUCUCUCUCUCUCUCUCUCUCUUUCUUUCUUCUCUUUUCUCUCUUUCUCUUUUCUACUUUUUGCUUUCUUUCUCUUACUCUCUUAUUCUCUCUUUUUCUCUUUCUCUAUGUAUAUCUCUCUAUGUAGAAAGACAAAGAGAACAAAGAAAGUAUCGAAGGAUAGUUUGAGACGACUUCGAAGCGUAGAAUGGUAGCCGAUAUCUGUGAGAUAAGAUUAUGGUGUCGUUCUCCUUCGAAAGACAAUUACAUACAUACCUAGCUGGCUUUUAUCUCUCAACGUGCGAGCAUUAUCUUUCUCCCACAGUCACGAUAUAAAUCGUUAUUAUCGUAUCCCUGUCCUACGAUUGUACGAAAAUUUAUUCGGGGUGGAGGAGGAGGGGAUCUUAGCUCGAAACGAUUAUAACGUCCGAUCCAAUUAUCGGGAAUAGUUAUAAAGCUUCCGCCACAAAUCAUGAGAGAGAGAGAGAAAGAGAGAAAGAGAAGAGAGAGGAAGGUAGAGUGUUCGUUGAUUGCUUCGGUGGAUCGACGUUCAACGAGGCAACAGUCGAUCGAUCGAUCGAUCCAGAUCGAGCUACGGAUAGCGAAGAUCUUUCCUUGCUAACCGACCGCGCUCGAGAAAGCUCUCUUCUCUUUAAAGAGAAGAAGGAAGGAUGAAGAUGAGGAGGAGGAGUAGGAGGAGGAGAAGUCUCUUCUCUUCGAUAUAUCCUGAUUUUUGUCGAUCCAUCGCGCGAGAGGAGAUCGAACGUGAGCAAUCUCUGGUGGUUGGUGGUACGCCGGCGCAAUUAGGAAAUCCAUUUGGCGUAAUUGCGCGCGAAGAAAGCACGGUCGGUAGCGAGCGAGUUGCUUCUCUCUUCCUAGGAUAGAAUGAAACUCUGUGUUAAUCUUUUCAUGUAAGAUUCCAAUUGAU